rnacentral:ncRNA from 1 species
UAUCACUCUCAGGGGACUGCCCCGAUUUCAUCGGGGAGGAGGGAGGGGACGACGUCAAGUCAUCAUAGCCCUUAUAUCCUGGGCUACACACACGUUACAAUGGACGAAAACAGUGGGAAGCAACUCCGCAAGGGGAAGCAAAUCCUUUCAAAGACGUCCUAAGUUGGGAUUGGGCUCUGCAAUUCGAGCCCAUGAACGUGGACUUGCUAGUAAUCGCAGGUCAGCAUACUGCGGUGAAUACGUUCUCGGGUCUUGUACACACCGCCCGUCAAGUGAGCAAAGUCGGGGGUAGUUGAAUCCCGAUUUAAUCGGGAGAGGCUAAAUCCGGCGAUGAGCGCUAAGUCGUAACAAGGUAUCCCUACUGGAAGGUGGGGAUGGAUCACCUCCUUU